rnacentral:lncRNA from 1 species
CAGAACUACAUCUCACCAUCUUGAGUCAGCCUUGGCUCAGUGUCCAUCUCACAGGCCUGGAAGGGGCAGGAGUCAGCACUGUCCAGACCACAGGGCCUGAGUGUGGGGAGGGCAGCCGUCUAGGAAGGUGGUGGAGGGUUGUUACCUUGAGGCAAGAGGGCUGCGGGGCAGAAAGACACAGCAGGUGACUGUUGUGGGAGGCCCAAGAGAGGCCUGGGAGAGGGAUGGCCCACAAGGGCUGACCCUCCCGCCACCCAGGGGGCCUUGGACAGGUUUCCUCCUGGCAGGGUGGCCCUUGUGCAUGGAACCCCUACAACGACUAAGGCUGGCAGGCAUGAGGUUUCCUGAAGGAGAAAGAGCUUGUGGGGCCCAGUGUGGCUGGGGGGGCGCUGGGACUCCAUUCUGAAGCCAAAGGCACUGGGAAGGGCUUCCGCAGAGGAGGGUUUGGCAGGGGUUGCCAGGAACAGCCUGGAUGGGGACAGGGAACAGAUAAGGUGGGUGGAGGAGUUAGCCGGGAGCCUGGGGCUGGCUCCAGCAUGAUGUGGGGGUCUGCAAGGCCCUGGAGAAAGUGGGGUGGUGCAGCAGGGGGCACACCCACAGCUGGAGCUGACCCAGAUGGACAGCUUGGGCUCUGCCACGCGGGACUAGGCAAGGAAGGGGCACGAACAAGCAGGAAGUGGUG